ensembl:lncRNA LINC03082 long intergenic non-protein coding RNA 3082
AGGUCACAGAGAUUCAGGGUGGUCAGAGGCGGUUUGAUGUUUUGGGGAGAAAGAACAGCCGUGAAGGAUUCUGUGAUGCAGGAGAAGGUGGGAGGCCUCAGGACAGAAUCAGCAGGUCACCAUGCUUUCCUGCGUCAUCCACCUGUGGGCCUCUAAUGUGUUUCUAUGAAGUUUGCAUUAAAGUUUCAGCCACUAUUUUUCAGAAACAUGGUCAACCUCUCCUUCCCUCCUCUAUCUGCUGAUAGAGUUCUACAGAAAACAAGGGAAUGACUUGAGGAGGUGAGGUAAUGCGAAAGGGAGACAGGUCUUUUGGGUUUCUUUCUCCAUCGGCUCAGCUGUCAGAAUUGCAAUUUUGUUUAAAUAAUUUCUUAUGCUCAAAUUUAUUCAUCCAUUAAAAGGUGCCAUAAAUGAAAUGCAACUGCCAUUUCUUAUAGGGGGAUUCUGAAGGUUGUUGGUGGAUUCCUAGAAUGUAGCCCGCAGAACUGUGCCUGGAACGAUACCGGAUCACUGCAAAAGUACAGCGAACAGGGUCGCUUUGAAUAUUAAAGGAGGACUUUUUCAAAGUGUAUAGAGAGCAGUCAAAAGAUCGCCACAGUUGCUCUGUGUUUUCGUGAGCCAGCUUUCUCGGAAGGUGAGCUGGUUCCGCUCUGCCUGGGUUUACUGUUUCAGAGGAGUGGUUCUCAGCUGCCGGACUGGCAUAGUCCUGUGUUCACACAGUUUCCUAAUCCUGAAACCAGCAAUCACAAAGUCAGUUCCUCAUCAAGAGAUCAAAGUCAUUCAUUUUGGAUACAAUCAUAUUUUCAGGCUAAAGGGAAGGUUGGGAAGGUCAGGCAUUAGAAUGCUGGAGGAGUGUCCUUGGCAGAGAAGGACUAAGCCAGUGGAUCACAAACAUCCUGGAGAGCAGUGACUCUGUGAUUCCAUCACAAGAAUAUGAAGGACUGAGAAGAUCUCCAGCUCUGCCCAUUGCACCUUCCCAUUGAGAAGCAGCAUGGCACCCUGGUGGCAGGGGCUGAUACUCAGCCGGGCCAGGGUGCUCUCCUGUUAACCAUAACCAAGCUCACAGGACAUGGGAUGAGCCCACUGUGUGACACAGGGAGCGGGACACAGUCUGUUAAGUCUUGCACAGCCAUGCUCUGCCACGCAGGCAGGCCUUUCCUUGGCCUCCCUCUCCCUGUUCGUGCUCAUGUGAACAUCCACCUACGUGGAUAGACUGGGCUUUGGUUCAUUAUUGCUCUGUGAAUUCCUCGAACUUCCGCAUCUGCCCAACCUCCCCCACCCCAUUGUUUUCAUUGUGUUUCACCAAAUGGAAAUUCUAGAGUAAGCAUGUGAGUCCUCUCCCAAACUUGUUCACUGUUGAGAGUGCUAAAAUGCUAACCCCAGAUGCUAACUGAGGGGUAGGGUUACCUUAUCUUUAGAGCACUGCGAAUUGUAUGUUAAGUGGAACUUAAUGAAAAAAUAGUUAAUUGACCAACAUGAAUAUCCCCUGAACAGAAUCUCCCCUGAACAGAAUCCUACAAUGAAACUAAGGGAGAUAAAUAAAGCUGUUUACCUGAAAGCUCUCUCUAAUCAAGAUCCUUUGAAAUUUAUAAAACAUGGUCAAUAUUUGCACUGGACUUUGUAAAAAUAAAGCUUGAUAAGAGAAGAGUUUGAAGUGAAA